rnacentral:rRNA from 1 species
UACAGAGGUCUCAAGCGUUGUUCGGAUUCAUUGGGCGUAAAGGGUGCGUAGGCGGCGCGGUAAGUCGGGUGUGAAAUCUUGGAGCUUAACUCCGAAACUGCAUUCGAUACUGCCGUGCUUGAGGACUGGAAAGGAGACUGGAAUUUACGGUGUAGCGGUGAAAUGCGUAGAUAUCGUAAGGAACACCAGUGGCGAAGGCGAGUCCCUGGACAACUCCUGACACUGAGGCACGAAAGCUAGGGGAGCAAACAGG